UACGUAGGGGCUAGACGUUGUCCGGAAUUACUGGGCGUAAAGAGUGUGUAGGCGGUGUUCUAAGUCUGUUGUGAAAUCUCCCGGCUUAACUGGGAGGGUGCGGCGGAAACUGGAAUGCUAGAGGAUGGGAGAGGUAAGCGGAAUUCCUGGUGUAGCGGUGAAAUGCGUAGAUAUCAGGAGGAACACCUGUGGUGUAGACAGCUUACUGGACCAUUUCUGACGCUGAGACACGAAAGCGUGGGUAGCAAACAGG
rnacentral:rRNA from 1 species